rfam:Metarhizium robertsii ARSEF 23 MAA_Scf_5, whole genome shotgun sequence.
GGCCGUGUAGCUCAAUGGCAGAGCGUCUGACUACGAUCAAGAAGUAUCGAGCGAUACUUUGUGUGUGAUCAGAAGGUCGCAGGUUCGACCCCUGUCUCGGUCA